rnacentral:rRNA from 1 species
AUGGGUGAGUAACGCGUGGACAACCUACCUUGUAAAGGGGAAUAACCUCGAGAAAUCGAAGCUAAUACCCCAUAAUAACCUUGAUUCGCAUGAAGCAAGGAGGAAAGGCGGCCUUAGAGCUGUCGAUAGAAGAUGGGUCCGCGUCUGAUUAGCUAGUUGGUGAGGUAAAGGCUCACCAAGGCGACGAUCAGUAGCCGGCCUGAGAGGGUGAACGGCCACAUUGGGACUGAGACACGGCCCAAACUCCUACGGGAGGCAGCAGUGGGGAAUCUUCCGCAAUGGGCGAAAGCCUGACGGAGCAAUGCCGCGUGAGUGAAGAAGGCCUUCGGGUUGUAAAACUCUGUCCUAGACGAAGAGAGAGUAUUGUAGUAACUGACAAUACUAGGACGGUAGACUAGGAGGAAGCCCCGGCUAACUAUGUGCCAGCAGCCGCGGUAAAACAUAGGGGGCAAGCGUUGUCCGGAAUCACUGGGCGUAAAGGGCGCGCAGGCGGUAAAUUAAGUCAGGUGUGAAAGUUCGGGGCUCAACCCCGUGAUUGCACCUGAUACUGAUAAACUAGAGUGUUGGAGAGGUAAGUGGAAUUCCUAGUGUAGCGGUGGAAUGCGUAGAUAUUAGGAGGAACACCAGUGGCGAAGGCGACUUACUGGCCAAUAACUGACGCUGAGGCGCGAAAGCGUGGGGAGCAAACAGGAUUAGAUACCCUGGUAGUCCACGCCGUAAAC